GACGAACGCUGGCGGCGUGCCUAACACAUGCAAGUCGAGCGGGGUUGAAGCGAGGGGUAACUCGGACUUCUACCUAGCGGCGGACGGGUGAGUAACGCGUGGGCAACCUGCCUCAAGGUUUGGGAUAACAGCUCGAAAGGGCUGCUAAUACCGGAUAUGCCUGUGGCCUCGCAUGGGGCUAUGAGCAAAGGGGAAACCCGCCUUGAGAUGGGCCCGCGUCCCAUCAGCUAGUUGGUGAGGUGAAGGCUCACCAAGGCGACGACGGGUAGCCGGCCUGAGAGGGUGACCGGCCACACUGGGACUGAGACACGGCCCAGACUCCUACGGGGGGCAGCAGUGGGGGAUCUUGCACAAUGGGCGAAAGCCUGAUGCAGCGACGCCGCGUGAGCGAAGAAGGCCUGGUUGUAAGACUCUGUCUGGAGGGACGGAAACAAAUGACGGUACCUCCGGAGGAAGCCACGGCGUAACUACGUGCCAGCACGACCGCGGUAAACGUGUAGUCGU
rnacentral:rRNA from 1 species